rnacentral:rRNA from 1 species
GAUGAACGCUGGCGGCGUGCCUAAUACAUGCAAGUCGAGCGAACGGACGAGAAGCUUGCUUCUCUGAUGUUAGCGGCGGACGGGUGAGUAACACGUGGAUAACCUACCUAUAAGACUGGGAUAACUUCGGGAAACCGGAGCUAAUACCGGAUAAUAUUUUGAACCGCAUGGUUCAAAAGUGAAAGACGGUCUUGCUGUCACUUAUAGAUGGAUCCGCGCUGCAUUAGCUAGUUGGUAAGGUAACGGCUUACCAAGGCAACGAUGCAUAGCCGACCUGAGAGGGUGAUCGGCCACACUGGAACUGAGACACGGUCCAGACUCCUACGGGAGGCAGCAGUAGGGAAUCUUCCGCAAUGGGCGAAAGCCUGACGGAGCAACGCCGCGUGAGUGAUGAAGGUCUUCGGAUCGUAAAACUCUGUUAUUAGGGAAGAACAUAUGUGUAAGUAACUGUGCACAUCUUGACGGUACCUAAUCAGAAAGCCACGGCUAACUACGUGCCAGCAGCCGCGGUAAUACGUAGGUGGCAAGCGUUAUCCGGGAAUUAUUGGGCGUAAAGCGCGCGUAGGCGGUUUUUUAGUCUGAUGUGAAAGCCCACGGCUCAACCGUGGAGGGUCAUUGGAAACUGGAAAACUUGAGUGCAGAAGAGGAAAGUGGAAUUCCAUGUGUAGCGGUGAAAUGCGCAGAGAUAUGGAGGAACACCAGUGGCGAAGGCGACUUUCUGGUCUGUAACUGACGCUGAUGUGCGAAAGCGUGGGGAUCAAACAGGAUUAGAUACCCUGGUAGUCCACGCCGUAAACGAUGAGUGCUAAGUGUUAGGGGGUUUCCGCCCCUUAGUGCUGCAGCUAACGCAUUAAGCACUCCGCCUGGGGAGUACGACCGCAAGGUUGAAGCUCAAAGGAAUUGACGGGGACCCGCACAAGCGGUGGAGCAUGUGGUUUAAUUCGAAGCAACGCGAAGAACCUUACCAAAUCUUGACAUCCUUUGACAACUCUAGAGAUAGAGCUUUCCCCUUCGGGGGACAAAGUGACAGGUGGUGCAUGGUUGUCGUCAGCUCGUGUCGUGAGAUGUUGGGUUAAGUCCCGCAACGAGCGCAACCCUUAAGCUUAGUUGCCAUCAUUAAGUUGGGCACUCUAAGUUGACUGCCGGUGACAAACCGGAGGAAGGUGGGGAUGACGUCAAAUCAUCAUGCCCCUUAUGAUUUGGGCUACACACGUGCUACAAUGGACAAUACAAAGGGCAGCGAAACCGCGAGGUCAAGCAAAUCCCAUAAAGUUGUUCUCAGUUCGGAUUGUAGUCUGCAACUCGACUACAUGAAGCUGGAAUCGCUAGUAAUCGUAGAUCAGCAUGUUACGGUGAAUACGUUCCCGGGUCU